rnacentral:antisense_RNA from 1 species
CAGGAGGGCUGGCAAGGGAGGGUCCAGGGCUAGGGGAUUCGGAGUGGCUUCAGGCGGACCACGUGGCUACCUUUUUUCCAGGGCCAGACUUUGGCAGCGUGUAAGGUCUGAGGACAGGGGCACCGGAGGCCGAGGAUGAGAGGCCAGUGCCUGUUUCCAGGCAGCCAGGGCCUCAGAAACUCCGGCCGGAGCACUCACCCGUCGGUGGAGGCCGUUACCAGGGCCACCUUAUUUGCGAGCGGGUCCCGGCGGGUCAUCCCGGAGCUGGCCAUCCGCACCGAAUUCCAAGCCCGGGCACAGAGGCCUAGCAGCCCCGCCUUGUGCAUGGAUCAGACCAGCAAGUGUGCCACUUCGGAUAAACCCUUUGGACUCCUAACUCCAAUCAGGUGUCUGCUUUGUUGAGGACUCACAGACACAGUCUCCUUUCUUCAAGAUCUUUACAAUGCAAGACCUCACUAACACACAGGGAUGGUCUCCCAGAGGGUCUGUGCUGUUCCUUCACUCAGAACAUCAAGAUGCACUGAAGUAAGGAUCCUCUAUUCUACAGUUCCUGCUAGCUGAGCUAUUCCAUGGGGGCUUCAGCAGGAAAUUCCAAGGUUGGCUUUGACAAGCUAAGGCCGGCUGGUGGAGCACAUCGAGUUCUGGAGGUUCAUGUGUGUUUUCAUGAAGAUCUGUCUGCCCGUAGCAGAUAAAGAGUUGUUGCCCCACUCCUCCUGGGGUCUUCUAUUUUCCUGGGAGGAAUUUCUGGAUUAACUGAACACACACACACACACACACACCCUUUUGAAGCAUCAACAGUAAUUCUGAGUUCUUAGGGACAAUGCAGAUUAAAUCCACAAUAAGAAAGACAACUAUGGCCAGGUGUGGUGGCUCACGCCUGUAAUCCCAGAACUUUGGGAGGCUGAGGCGGAUGGAUCACCUGAGGUCAGGAGUUAGAGACCAACCUGACCAACAUGGAGAAACCCCGUUUCUACUAAAAAUGCAAAAUUAGCCGGGCAUGGUGGCAGGCGCCUGUAAUCCCAAAUACUCGGGAGGCUGAGGCAGGAGAAUCACUUAAACCCGGGAGGCAGAGGUUGCAGUGAGCCAAGAUCGCGCCAUUGCACUCCAGCCUGGGCAAGAAGAGCAAAACUCCAUCUCAAAAAAAAAAAAAGAGUACUAUUGAUCCAGAGGUGACCAGACUAGCCUCACUGGAGAUAAUAGGUGACAUUAUUAUGCAAAGUGGUUUCAGUUCCCUUGUCUUGUUUUUGGAAUAGUAUAAGAGGCCUACAAUACGAAUAAAUAAGGCCCAUCACAAGCCUCACCAAAGGACAAAACUAAUCCACUUCUGAAGAAGGCUCUUUGUUGGGCCAGAUCAAAUCCUUGGACAGAACUGUACUCUUAAUCUCUGUAGUGAAAGUGGGGGGUAGUUUAAGAAUUUAUUAACCUUCUACCUUGAGCAAUCCCUCAGAAGUAAGAGGUGUCAGGCCUCUGAGCCGAAGCUCAGCCAUUGUAACCCCUGUGACCUGCACAUAUAUGUCCAGAUGGCCUGCAGGAGCCAAGAAGUCUGGGGCAGCUGAAAAACCACACAAGAAGUAAAACAGCCAGUUCCUGCCUUAACUGAUUAACCAACAUUACAACAUUCCACCAUUGUGACCUGUCCCUGUCCUACCUUAACUGAUCAAUCGACCUUGUGACAGUCUUCUUCUGGACAAUGGGUCUUAUCAUCUCCCCACCAUGUACCUUGUGACCCCCUCCUCUGCUAACAAUAGAUAACCACUUUUUACUGUAAUUUUCCAUUACCUACCCAACUCCUAUAAAGCAACCCCUUCCCCAUCUCCCUUCACUGACUCUGUUUUCAGACUCAGCCCACUUGCACUCAAGUGAAUAAACAGCCUUGUUGCUCACACAAA